CGGCGGACGGGUGAGUAACGCGUGGGUAACCUGCCUCGUACAGGGGGAUAACAGUUAGAAAUGACUGCUAAUACCGCAUAAGACCACAGCACCGCAUGGUGCAGGGGUAAAAACUCCGGUGGUAUGAGAUGGACCCGCGUCUGAUUAGCUAGUUGGUAAGGUAACGGCUUACCAAGGCGACGAUCAGUAGCCGACCUGAGAGGGUGACCGGCCACAUUGGGACUGAGACACGGCCCAA
rnacentral:rRNA from 1 species